AAGAUUAUAUUUUCAGGAUCCUUUCUAUAGUUUGUCACUAGAGAAGCUUCUCUGACUGUGUGUAGUAGAGUACUGGAAACCAUGAGGAGGCGGCGUGGCGCUCUCUCCUGAGCGUGAAGCCGGCUCUAGGUGUUGCUUUGCUCCAACUGCCACUCGCCAUGGAUGAUCGUUCCUGCUGUCCUUCGGGGCAGCUGGAGGAAGAGGAUGCAGUCUGAGUGGA
ensembl:snoRNA U3 Small nucleolar RNA U3